ensembl:lncRNA
ACCCAUAGGGAAUCCCAUAUAACCCAUAGGGCACCCAUUACAACCCAUACGAAACCCCAUUUAACCCAUAGGGCAGCCAGUGUGACCCCAUAAGGAACCCAAUAUAACACAUAGGGCACCCAGUGUGACCCCAUAGCGCACCCCAUAUAAGCUGCAGGGCAGCCAUUGCAACCCAUAGGAGACCCCAUAGAACCCAUAGGAAUCCAAUAUAACCCAUAGGGCACCCAUAUCACCCAUAGGGCACCCAGUGCGACCCCAUAGGGCACCCAGUAUAACCCAUAGGAGACCCCAUAUAAUCCACAGGGCACCCAGUGUGACCCCAUAGCGCACCCCAUAUAAGCCACAGGGCAGCCAUUGCAACCCAUAGGAGACCCAUUGCAACCCAUAGGAGACCCAAUAUAACCCAUAGGGAAUCCCAUAUAACCCAUAGGGCACCCGGUGUGACCCCAUAGGAAACCCCAUAUAACCCAUAGGGCACCCAGUGUGACCCCAUAGCGCACCCCAUAUAAGCCACAGGGCAGCCAUUGCAACCCAUAGGAGACCCAUUGCAACCCAUAGGAGACCCCAUAUAACCCAUAGGAGACCCAAUAUAACCCAUAGGGCACCAUUACAACCCAUAGGGAAUCCAAUAUAACCCAUAGGAAACCCCAUAUAACCCAUAGGGCACACUGAGUGACCCCAUAGCGCACCCCAUAUAAGCCGCAGGGCAGCCAUUGCAACCCAUAGGAGACCCAUUGCAACCCAUAGGAGACCCAAUAUAAUCCAUAGGAGACACAAUAUAACCCAUAGGGAAUCCAAUAUAACCCAUAGGAAACCCCAUAUAACCCAUAGGGCACCCGGUGUGACCCCAUAAGGAACCCCAUAUAACCCAUAGGAAAUCCCAUAUAACCCAUAGGGCACCCAGUGUGACCCCAUAAGGAAACCCCAUAUAACCCAUAGGAAACCCCAUAUAACCCAUAGGGCACACUGAGUGACCCCAUAGCGCACCCCAUAUAAGCCGCAGGGCAGCCAUUGCAACCCAUAGGGAACCGAAUUGAACCCAUAGGGCACCCAUUGCGACCCCAUAGGGAAUCCAAUACAACCCAUAGGGCACCCAAUAUAACCUAUAGGAGACCCAGUAUAACCCACAGGAAACCCCAUAUAACCCAUAGGGAACCCCAUGUAACCCAUAGGGCACACCGAGUGACCCCAUAGCGCACCCCAUAUAAGCCGCAGGGCAGCCAUUGCAACCCAUAGGAGACCCAUUGCAACCCAUAGGAGACCCAAUAUAACCCAUAGGAGACGCAAUAUAACCCAUAGGGCAGCCAGUGUGACCCCACAGGGAACCCAAUAUAACCCAUAGGAGACCCCAUAUAAUCCACAGGGCACCCAGUGUGACCCCAUAGCGCACCCUAUAUAAGCCACAGGGCAGCCAUUGCAACCCAUAGGAGACCCAACAUAACCCAUAGGGAAUCUCAUAUAACCCAUAGGGCACCCAUCCCACCCCAUAGGACACCCAUUCCGCCCCAUAGAGCCCCAUUCCGCCCCAUAGAGCCCCAUUAGGCCCCAUAGAACCCCCAUCCCGCCCCAUAGAGCCCCAUAGAACCCCAUAGGUCACCCAUCCCGCCCCAUAGAGCCCCAUUGCGCCCCAUAGAGCCCCAUAGGUCACCCAUUCUGCCCCAUAGAGCCCCAUAGAACCCCAUAGGUCACCCAUCCCGCCCCAUAGAGCCCCAUAGAACCCCAUAGGACACCCAUUAUGACCCAUAGGACACCCAUCCCGCCCCAUAGAGCCCCAUAGAACCCCAUAGGACACCCAUCCCGCCCCAUAGAGCCCCAUAGAACCCCAUAGGACACCCAUUCCGUCCCAUAGGACCCCAUUCCGCCCCAUACAGCCCCCUUAGGCCCCAUAGAACCCCCAUCCCGCCCCAUAGGUCACCCAUCCUGCCCCAUAGGACCCCAUUCUGCCCCAUAGAACCCCCAUCCCGCCCCAUAG